AUCAACGCUGGCGGCGUGCCUCAGACAUGCAAGUCGAACGCGAAAUUUCCCUUCGGGGAGAAAGUAGAGUGGCGCACGGGUGAGUAACACGUAGGUAAUUUGCCUUUGGGUGGGGAAUAACUCAGGGAAACUUGAGCUAAUACCGCAUAAUGCAGCGGCUCGACAUCGAGACAGUUGUUAAAGCGGGGAGUUGGAGCAAUCCGACCUCGCGCCUAAAGAGAAGCCUGCGGCAGAUUAGCUAGUUGGUAAGGUAAUGGCUUACCAAGGCGACGAUCUGUAACCGGCCUGAGAGGGCGGGUCGGUCACACUGACACUGACAUACGGGUCAGACUCCUAC
rnacentral:rRNA from 1 species